CAGCCGCCGCGGUAAUACAGAGGGUGCGAGCGUUAAUCGGAUUUACUGGGCGUAAAGCGUGCGUAGGCGGCUUCUUAAGUCGGAUGUGAAAUCCCUGAGCUUAACUUAGGAAUUGCAUUCGAUACUGGGAAGCUAGAGUAUGGGAGAGGAUGGUAGAAUUCCAGGUGUAGCGGUGAAAUGCGUAGAGAUCUGGAGGAAUACCGAUGGCGAAGGCAGCCAUCUGGCCUAAUACUGACGCUGAGGUACGAAAGCAUGGGGAGCAAACAGGAUUAGAUACCCCAGUAGCCCCUGUCUCUUAUAC
rnacentral:rRNA from 1 species